rnacentral:lncRNA from 1 species
AGAUGUCUCCAUCACAAACAUCAUACCGAUCCGCAGUACCGCUACCGCUCAACCGCUGAUUCUGUUUUUGUCGUAAAGUAAACGUAAACUCGUUAACAAAACCUUGCGGUUAAUGUUUGGGCAAUGGGAGUUCGGAAUGAAGAAGUCGUGCUGUGUUUCUUUCAGUAAAGAAAGAUUUGCAUAGAAAGGCGAAAUACUUCAUGAAUAAUUUUACGACAAGAAGCUGCAUAAUGAUACUACGACACACUUUGACAUGAGUAUAUCUGAAAUUCCAGUGAACCAGUCAGUUCACCAGCAACAGUUUCUAGUCCUGGCCAAAAGCCAGAAAACAAUGUAAGAAGAAACAUCAGCAAUUUAUCAUUGCAGGAUACCACAACAGGGUAAUCAAGCGUUUGCAGUCAGCAUACUCAGUAAUCUUGUUUCUAAAGACGAAAUGAAAUCCUUGAAGAUGUCUUGGGACUGUUGUCACUUUGUCCAACAGCGUCCUGGAAGAACUGCAACUUUGCAUCACCACAAUUUAAAACAUUCCAGCCACAGAGUUCCAGCACAGCAUAUCCUUUACAGUUAUGAAAAAAAAAUGUUCCUUCCGUUCCGUCCAGUCUUCCGGUCUUCGGGUGCCUAAGGAAUAUGUUGGAUAUCACUUGGUGGCUAAAAUUAUGUCUGCUAGAUGACGUGAGUGUCUUACUCAAGACAUCAUCAGUGUCAAGACGAAAUUCCGCCAUUUCUUAAACACUGAUUUGAUUGGAAACCAUGUUGAAAACGUAUCGUUUCGAUUGGAUACUUAAUAUGGCGUACUUUUCUUUCUUUAAAUUUUUAUUCGUAAAAAUGGUAUCUAUCUGGUAACAGCCUAUAAUUUCUACAUGGCAAUUUCAUCUGAUCAUGUGGCCUGAGCAGCUGAACAUUUUGCCAAAAUGUCGUGUCUUUUUCCCAGUUUCACGUUUGUCAGAAACACUUCAGAACAAUUCGGGAUUAACACCCUGGUGGAGUUUGAGCUUCUUUGUUGCUGCCCAACUUACACAUGGAUUUGACGCAGCCAGCUGAGGGCUUUUAUUCUUGUUGAUCAUGUAUGUUCGUGUAGUUGCUGUCCGAUGUGGCACGUUGUUGCAGCCUAUGCUGGUGAAAGUUCUUUCUACAUCAAGUUCAAUUGGCCGUUCCUUGGUGCUGAUGUUGUGUUACCGAAGUUGCAUCAUAUUUUGUUAAA